rnacentral:lncRNA from 1 species
AAGCAGCAUGCCUUGUGUGGAAGUGUGGCACUAAAUACCAGGUCACAUCCUUGGAAACUGGGAAAAAUUAGUGACUCAGGAUGGGAAAUGAAUGUUAUCCUCAGAGUUAUCUUACAGAGGAGAGAAGACCUUAAGCAAAGAGAAAUGAGGCUGAGGAAGGGGUGAGCAGAUGGGAAAGCCCUGUGCAGCUGGAGAGGCUGCAAUCCCCCUUGAGGACUCUGACCAAGGAAUGAUGAGGAGCGAUCAAGAAACCUGCAGGUGCUCUGAUGUUUUGUUAGAUCUGCAUAUUUCUUUCAGUGUCUGGCUCGCAGCAGAAUUGUGUUGCAAAGUCCAGGUGUUUCGUGCUUCAGCUGUUGCCUGCAUCUGGAGAGGAUUUGGAUCUGGUUGUCUGCAACAACUACUACAAACCAGCCUGUGAAUGAAAGCUGGAUGAAGAAUUUCCUGCCUGCUCUGUUUUGGUGAAGCAGCAAAGAAGGAGGGGGAAUACUGCUUUUAAAGAGAUAACUGUAUUAAAACACAUUUGGCUUCACAUCAAAGAUGGCUCAAGCCUAUCAUUUUAAGUAUGUGCAGGACUUAGCAAUAGCACUGAAACAUUGGCAAGGCCUGAACUCACACAAAAUAAAAAAAAAGGUCUUUGCCA